AUUGAACGCUGGCGGCAUGCCUUACACAUGCAAGUCGAACGGCAGCACGGGAGCAAUCCUGGUGGCGAGUGGCGAACGGGUGAGUAAUAUAUCGGAACGUGCCCAGUCGUGGGGGAUAACGUAGCGAAAGCUACGCUAAUACCGCAUACGAUCUAUGGAUGAAAGCGGGGGAUCGCAAGACCUCGCGCGAUUGGAGCGGCCGAUAUCAGAUUAGGUAGUUGGUGAGGUAAAGGCUCACCAAGCCGACGAUCUGUAGCUGGUCUGAGAGGACGACCAGCCACACUGGGACUGAGACACGGCCCAGACUCCUACGGGAGGCAGCAGUGGGGAAUUUUGGACAAUGGGCGAAAGCCUGAUCCAGCAAUGCCGCGUGAGUGAAGAAGGCCU
rnacentral:rRNA from 1 species